UUCCGGUUGAUCCCGCCGGACCUGACUGCUAUCGGAUUGAUACUAAGCCAUGCGAGUCUUUGUAGCAAUACAAGGCAGACGGCUCAGUAACGCGUAGUCAACCUAACCUAUGGAUGGGAAUAACCUCGGGAAACUGAGAAUAAUGCCCAAUAGAACACUAUACCUGGAAUGGUUUGUGUUCCAAAUGAUUUAUCGCCGUAGGAUGGGACUGCGGCCUAUCAGUUUGUUGGUGAGGUAAUGGCCCACCAAGACUAUUACAGGUACGGGCUCUGAGAGGAGUAGCCCGGAGAUGGGUACUGAGACACGGACCCAGGCCCUAUGGGGCGCAGCAGGCGAGAAAACUUUGCAAUGUGCGAAAGCACGACAAGGUUAAUCCGAGUGAUUUGUGCUAAACGAAUCUUUUGUUAGUCCUAGAAACACUAACGAAUAAGGGGUGGGCAAGUUCUGGUGUCAGCCGCCGCGGUAAGACCAGCACCUCAAGUGGUCAGGAUGAUUAUUGGGCCUAAAGCAUCCGUAGCCGGCUCUGUAAGUUUUCGGUUAAAUCUGUACGCUCAACGUACAGGCUGCCGG
rnacentral:rRNA from 1 species